AAAUCUACGCUCGUUUGGCUUGGGCCUCUGAGGCUCUAAUGUCCACCAACUCACCAAUCCAAAUGUGAUUAUUUGGUAACCGUGUUAGUCAACGAAAAGCCCAAUCCCUCUUUUUCUUUUAUUUCCAGUUCAUUUCUCUGAUAGCCGAUACUCUCUGAUCACUUUGACACCGGGUCAGCAGCUUUUUCGCUGGCGGCAACUGUGACGGCAGAAUCCCGGCGAAUUUUCGGCCAGAAUCUUUGGAAGCAAAAGAAUAAGGUUUUCUUUCUAAGUGGUGAUGUGCUGAACUGCUCAUUUAUUCAAAGAAGAAGGUUCCACCGAGAUUUGAACUGGGGCUAUGGGAUUCAGAGUCCAUCUAUUUAACCACUAGAUCACGGGACCCCUUGAUGGACAUUGCAUAGUAUAUCAGAAGUAAAGUCAGCUGGAAUCUUGUAUGGUCUGGCUGCAUUUGGAGCAGUGAAGCUGAAGUCUUGAACUUAAUCUUUCCGAUGCCAUAGUGGUCCUAGAGAGAUGGAGACUUGGUGAGGUAGAAAGUGAUUGGCUGUUUGAGGAUUAAGGGGUUGGAUUAAGCAAAAGCUUACUUCUUAAAAAAGGUCUUCUACCUUGGACACACCCAGACAGGGUUUCACGCCCCUUGGGCGUAUUCUUUUUCAGUGAAGGUAUGCGCCGCAAUUUUCUAAAUUGGAGAAAGGUCAGUCUCAAAUUUCAGCUAUAAUACUAUACCACAUUUGACAAAGCAUAAUGCUCUGGAAAAUCUAUUACAUGAGAUGAAUGAACAAAGUGUAAUGAAUAAAGUUUUAGACACUGAUUUUAACAUGUUCUUCACCAAGAUAUCUCUUUUAAUACAAAUUACUUUGAUAGUAAUGUAAAAGUUUCUGAGAUUAAGAGUAAACAGUUGAGCAGAAGUUUUUUUUAUGAUCUUGCGACUUACCUUACUUGUAGUGAAAAUAGUGGAUGUUGUAACAACAGUACAACACUGCUGUAGUGUUCUUGAGGAGUCACUACCUUUUCCUGGGGACCCAGGAUCAUUAUCUGAAAGAAAUAAACUUGUAAUUCAGAUUUUUCCCAUGUUAGGCAAGGAUUCUUGGGAGAGAGAUUGGGUUUAAGGCCUUUUAAGAUUUGUCUCAGUCAUAGCUUCUUCAUUGCAGCUUCAUAGUUUAUAUUUAAAUUUAGAUUUUACUUGGUAUUUGAUAUAUAAUCCAAAUUCCAUAUGGCUCAGUCAGAGUCGAAUGGUUGUCUUCGUGUUCGUCUUCGUCUUCGUCUCGCCAAGGUGGUCCAUCCAUAGAAAUUCUACUGAUAUGGAGUAGCUUGUAGAGAACAGAAAUGUAUGAAGUUUACUUGUUGGUGAUACAAUGAACAGGACAGCAGUAGAUUCAAACUUGUGAUGUGAGAACUGACAAGGUUACAACUUACAACAUACUCCAUACAUAUAUAUGCUCGUGAGGGAAUUACUGCUGUUUUUUUUUUUUUGUAACUUUCCCCCAACAUGUUUAUGCGCCUACAUUUGUUGUUUGCUUUGCUCGUAUAUGGAUGAAAGCUGCUAAAGAUGCUAUUCUGCA